rnacentral:rRNA from 1 species
AGAGUUUGAUCAUGGCUCAGAGCGAACGCUGGCGGCAGGCUUAACACAUGCAAGUCGAGCGCCCCGCAAGGGGAGCGGCAGACGGGAGAGUAACACGUGGGAACAUACCUUUUGGUUCGGAACAACUGAGGGAAACUUCAGCUAAUACCGAAUAAGCCCUUACGGGGAAAGAUUUAUCGCCGAAAGAUUGGCCCGCGUCUGAUUAGCUAGUUGGUGAGGUAACGGCUCACCAAGGCGACGAUCAGUAGCUGGUCUGAGAGGAUGAUCAGCCUCAUUGGGACUGAGACACGGCCCAAACUCCUACGGGAGGCAGCAGUGGGGAAUAUUGGACAAUGGGCGCAAGCCUGAUCCAGCCAUGCCGCGUGAGUGAUGAAGGCCUUAGGGUUGUAAAGCUCUUUUGCCCGGGAAGAUAAUGACGGUACCGGGAGAAUAAGCCCCGGCUAACUUCGUGCCAGCAGCCGCGGUAAUACGAAGGGGGCUAGCGUUGCUCGGAAUCACUGGGCGUAAAGCGCACGUAGGCGGAUCUUUAAGUCAGGGGUGAAAUCCCGGAGCUCAACUCCGGAACUGCCUUUGAUACUGGGGAUCUUGAGUUCGAGAGAGGUGAGUGGAACUGCGAGUGUAGAGGUGAAAUUCGUAGAUAUUCGCAAGAACACCAGUGGCGAAGGCGGCUCACUGGCUCGAUACUGACGCUGAGGUGCGAAAGCGUGGGGAGCAAACAGGAUUAGAUACCCUAGUAGUCC